ensembl:lncRNA
GUAGACUGGAGGUAAUCAGACUGGAGCUAGUAGACUGUAGCUAGUAGACUGGAGCUAGUAGACUGGAGGUAAUCAGACUGGAGCUAGUAGACUGGAGCUAGUAGACUGGAGCUAGCUAGACUGGAGCUAGUAGACUGGAGCUAGCUAGACUGGAGCUAGUAGACUGGAGCUAGUAGACUGGAGCUAGUAGACUGGAGGUAAUCAGACUGGAGCUACUAGACUGGAGCUAAUAGACUGGAGGUAACCAGACUGGAGCUAGUAGACUGGAG